AGUGUCCUGGUUUUGACCCUAAAUCCACUCAGUGAGUGUCUUCAACAGAGAACUCAAGAGGCAGGAAAUAGAGAUGCUCCAUCUCUGCUCUUGCUGUCACUAGUCUCCUGACAGCCCACGUUGGGUAACCUGUUAUUCUGCAGCCCCUAAAGGAAAGCUGUAUCCAUGACUGACCCCUCAGCUUGCUAAGUGUGUCAUCCCUGUGAUCACUGACGGAUCUUGGAGCACGCAGGAUUGUAAGAAAGGAAAAAGGGAGCUAUUGCGAGAUUGGAGUGUGAAGAACUUUGCAUCAACUUUUUGAAGAAUGAAAAUUUUCCCAGAGAUCAGCCCAGCUCAGGAAAGAUUGCCUCAAACAGAAGUGAGUAGGGGAUGAUGGGAAACUCCUGGCUAUUCCACCCCCAAACUCCUGUCAAGAUUCAGUCUUGGGAACAGAGGACUCCAUUCUGCAGCAUCUGAGGAGGUGCAUUCCUGUCCCCCUCAGCAGGACUUGUGCUGCUGUGCCUAGCCAUCUGUUGGAGCUGUACCACUCUUCCCCAGGAUACUCAUCCCUGAAGGCUGCCCUGUGGAGAAUUAGCUAGGAAAUAGGAGAAGCUACCCAUCACAGGAAAAAAAAUCCUCAGAAAGUGGUGGGAAAACUGGAGGAUAAUAGCAGCUUCUAUUACCAAGUACAAUGGAAGUUCCUGUACAAAUACUCUACGGCAAUGGGAAUGGGAAGAAGGAAAGAGAACAGUAAAAGUGAAUUCUAACCUCUGAUGCCAGGAAAUGACUCAAUAAAUCAACAGUACUUUGAUCUACAGAAUUAUGGGAUUUCUCUUCACGAUAAGGAAAAAAUCCAGACAGACCUCUUCAGUGUCUAUAAAAGUCUGUAAAUGACCACAGUCUGCAGUUGGAAAAGCCUGAUGACUGGCAAGAGACCCAGUGAGGACUGAAUAAUCAAGCUGUGCUAUUAAAAGGUUGUAUCUUCAUAAAGACCUGCAUUUAUGAAGAUUCAGCGUGCCUGCAAUACUUUGGAUGAAGAAGGGUGGGUUGACAUGCCUGAUGAGACUGGAGUGGAUUCAGAAAGGCAGAGCUAUAUCCUCAAAAAUUCACAGUGGCAGUAAUGGUAGCUGAGGUGAGGACCUGCCCCUCUCUAUGUCAAUGGAUGCUCUUUGUGAUUCUUCAUCCCAGCGAUUUGACAUCCUGUGAGUUACAUCCCAGUGAGGGAUGGAAAUUAAGUGGAAGCAACAAACACAGGAGUUCAUAUGGAUGCUAACAUUCCUUCUUUUACCAUUGUUCUAAUCCACAGACUCUAAAACAAAACACAAUUAUGCAGUAUCUGUUUGGCAAGCAAAUUCUAUUUCCUUAUGACCAGAAUAAGUACUGGCUUACCUCUCUGUUGUCUACUUGGUAAUUACAACCUGCCUUCUCCAGGUCAACCUGUUGGGGGUGAAAUUCUAAAAGUUUUCUUCCUUCUUCAGCCUCAAACUUUUUUUAAAAAAAAUUUUCCUCCCCUGCAGUCAAAAAGACCCGUGUGUACACUGUGGGAGAAGUGCUUACAGGCAAAACUUGUCUUCACUUGGAAAAGUCUUUACCAACCAUUUUUAACAUUUAAAAAUACUUUUUUGUGUUCUUUACUAUGUUAGUCCUCAUAACUCCCUGUAAAAAAUAAUUAUAGAAAAAAAUAAAAAAAAUUGAAAUAUCUACAUUCUCAACAAAAAUUGAUAUCUUUUGAUUUCUCAUGAUGAUGUAUUUUGCUAGAAUACUUCUGAAGGACUUGGUAAUGCAUCCAUAUUAUCCACAUUGUCUCACUGUUUCCUUAUGACAUGUCAGCUUUAUGUUUUCACUCAUUCUUUCAUAUUGUACUAGGCCCAUAAAUUUUCUGAAGCAUGAAUUGUCUUUCCGUUCUGUGUCUGUAAAAUGCGUAACCAUAGGUUUGUGGGCAACAAAUGUUGUACAGAUAUGAUAAUAGUGAUGGGAGCAGCAAAAAACAAAAAAACAACAAAAAAAACGAUCUUAGAUGUGGUGAUUUUGGAGCUGGUUCUAGGUCAUGCUGCUAAUUAUGCUGCUGACAGAUAGGUAAAGAAUAAGAGUUGCUAACCACACGUAUAAACAGGAACAGCACUUUUGCAGCUGGAAUCUAUACACUGGAUGUUUCUGUAGCAAGUCAGAAUCUGAUGAGGGUAUUUUUGUCUAUGAGGAAAGAGUGGUGAGAUUCCUCAGCAAGUGGUAAUAUUGGUGCUGAAGUGAUAGACUUUUGAUUGGCAGUGAAGAUGUCAAGAAAUUUUCCAUUUCUAGGUGCUUUCAUGAUGUACAGCUAAAUGGAACUGCAUAUGAAGCUAUGAUCAUUAAACACAUAAUAGACACAUUAUCUUGCUAGGUCUUGCUAGAAAAACAGCAGGAUGAUGAACAAUGUAUUGAAUUUCAUUAGAAUAAAAAUUGUUUAGGGGCCACCAUACCAUAUAGCAUUCCUUCAGUGAUAUGACUGCACCUGAUUAAAGUAGUCUUGAUUGCUUGAAUGUGAGAGUAGGGGACUGUUGGAUUAUUGUAGUCUUUUUGCAUGAGAUAAAAAGAGAUUAUUUAUCUUUGAAAUUAUCCAAAAUUCAUUAAUAAUGUACUUUAAAAUAUUAUUCUUAAAAAUGUUGUCAUUUUUAAAAUAUUCUUCAAAUGUUGUCAUUCACAGUGGUAAAUCCAUGUUCUUAGUGUACCC
ensembl:lncRNA